rnacentral:tRNA from 1 species
GGGGAGCUGGCUCAGUGGGUAAAGCACUUGCCUUGUGAGCAUGAUGACUGGAGUUGUAUCUUUUGCAUCCCA